UACGUAGGGUGCAAGCGUUAAUCGGAAUUACUGGGCGUAAAGCGUGCGCAGGCGGUUAUGCAAGACAGAUGUGAAAUCCCCGGGCUCAACCUGGGAACUGCAUUUGUGACUGCAUAGCUAGAGUACGGUAGAGGGGGAUGGAAUUCCGCGUGUAGCAGUGAAAUGCGUAGAGAUGCGGCGGAACACCGAUGGCGAAGGCAGCCCCCUGGGCUGAGAUUGACGCUCAGGCACGAAAGCGUGGGGAGCAAACAGG
rnacentral:rRNA from 1 species